GACGUAGGGCGCGAGCGUUGUCCGGAUUUAUUGGGCGUAAAGAGCUCGUAGGCGGCUUGUUGCGUCGACCGUGAAAACCCGGGGCUCAACUUCGGGCUUGCGGUCGAUACGGGCGGGCUAGAGUUCGGUAGGGGAGACUGGAAUUCCUGGUGUAGCGGUGAAAUGCGCAGAUAUCAGGAGGAACACCGAUUGCGAAGGCAGCUCGCUGGGACGUAACUGACGCUGAGACGCGAAAGCGUGGGGAGCAAACAGG
rnacentral:rRNA from 1 species